GACGAACGCUGGCGGCGUGCUUAACACAUGCAAGUCGAACGGUGAAGCUCCAGCUUGCUGGAGUGGAUCAGUGGCGAACGGGUGAGUAACACGUGAGCAACCUGCCCCUGACUCUGGAAUAAGCGCUGGAAACGGCGUCUAAUACUGGAUACGAGAAGGGUCCGCAUGGGCACUUUCUGGAAAGUUUUUCGGUUGGGGAUGGGCUCGCGGCCUAUCAGCUUGUUGGUGAGGUAAUGGCUCACCAAGGCGACGACGGGUAGCCGGCCUGGGAGGGCGACCGGCCCCACUGGGACUGCGACACGGCCCAGACUCCUACGGGAGGCAGCAGUGGCGAAUCUUGCCCAAUGGGCGAAAGCCUGAUGCAGCGACGCCGCGUGAGGGAUGACGGCCUUCGGGUUGUAAACCUCUUUCAGCAGGGAAGAAGCGAAAGUGACGGUACCUGCAGAAGAAGCACCGGCUAACUACGUG
rnacentral:rRNA from 1 species